GCACGAAGAUGCUCUGGCUCUGCUGCACCCAUUGGUCAGGGGUUGGUUUGGGUGAUCUGGCUGGCUAGGCAGGUGUUCCUUGGCCUCUCUUCACUCCACAUAAACCCUUCCUGAAGCCAGUGAUCAAAGAAGAGACAGAGAGGAACAUCCUUUGGUGAAGAGUAAGUGAAUAGCUCUGCUUCCCUACUAUAACCUCCAAACAAGCUGGCAAGAUCUAUUUGCAGGAGAAUGGGGCUAAGUUUUCAGGAACCUAGGCAUAUCUAAAUGAGGUACUUCACAUGGCAGUGCGCCUUUAAAU
rnacentral:snRNA from 1 species